rnacentral:rRNA from 1 species
ACGCGUAACAAGGUUUCCGUAGGUGAACCUGCGGAAGGAUCAUUAUUGAAUGAACUUGGCGUGGUUGUCGCUGGCCCUCUCGAGGGUAUGUGCACGCCCGUCAUCUUUAUCUUUCCACCUGUGCACACUUUGUAGACUUGAAUAGUAUUUUCUGAGGCAACUCAGUCGGGAGGAUUGCUGGUAUUAUCAGCUCUCCUUGCAUUAUUCAAGCCUAUGUUUUCAUAUACCCCAAAAAUGUAACAGAAUGUAUCAUUGGGCCUUGUGCCUAUAAACUAUAUACAACUUUCAGCAACGGAUCUCUUGGCUCUCGCAUCGAUGAAGAACGCAGCGAAAUGCGAUAAGUAAUGUGAAUUGCAGAAUUCAGUGAAUCAUCGAAUCUUUGAACGCACCUUGCGCUCCUUGGUAUUCCGAGGAGCAUGCCUGUUUGAGUGUCAUUAAAUUCUCAACCUUACCAGUUUUCACAAAUUGGUAAUGGAUUGGACUUGGGGGUUUUUUGCUGGCUUCGUCAAGAGGUCUGCUCCCCUUAAAUGUAUAAGCCGGUACCCUUGUGGAGUCGUCUAUUGGUGUGAUAAUUAUCUACGCCGUGGGCCUUCACUUUAAAUGGAUUGUACUGCUUCUAACCGUCCGUUAAGUCGGACAAAUAAUGACAAUUUGACCUCAAAUCAGGUAGGACUACCCGCUGAACUUAAGCAUAUCA